rnacentral:tRNA from 4 species
GUGAGUGUAGCUCAGCCGGUUAGAGCACUGGUCUGUGGAACCAGGGGUCGUGGGUUCAAGUCCCAUCACUCACCCCA